rnacentral:rRNA from 1 species
UACCGAGGGUGCAAGCGUUAAUCGGAAUUACUGGGCGUAAAGCGUGCGUAGACGGUUAUGUAAGUCGGGUGUGAAAGCCCCGGGCUCAACCUGGGAAUGCCAUUCGAGACUGCAUAGCUAGGGUGCGGAAGAGGGAAGCGGAAUUUCCGGUGUAGCGGUGAAAUGCGUAGAUAUCGGAAGGAACAUCAGUGGCGAAGGCAGUGCCCUGGCCGACGGCUGACGCUCAGGCGCGAAAGCGUGGGGAGCAAACAGG